rnacentral:lncRNA from 1 species
AAUAGUUGCUUAUUUUGAUCCAACGAUUUGUCUGGCAGGCUAGCUACUUGACUUAAGCCAACUAGUAAGAUGACAACUUUAGAAGAAAUACGUAAGGAAAUGGACAUCCUCCGAAAUGAGGUAGAAUUUCAAAGGAAAUUGGCUGACUACUGGGAAGGACGAUGGAAACAAGAAUAUGCCGAGAAAAUUGAGCUACUACGCCAGAACGUAGAACCAGAGAAGAAACAUAAGAAAAAUCCCCGAAAUGUCCAGGCCGCCACCUCCCAUACAAAAUGUGGGUAUUGUAGAAAAACCGGCCAUACUAAGGACGAAUGCUGGAAAAAGGGAGGAAAGUGCUUGGGGUGCGGUAGUACCACGCACAAGAUUUCGGAUUGUGCUAGAGCACUUAAAAAGAGAAAGCACUCAGCAGCUAACUAAGUCCGCUGCAAAGCGACCAAGUACCAGAUGGAGAUAAUUCUAGCUAAUGGCCAUGAAAGGAAUCCUAGCAGUGAAUGUUUCGCAAAUCAAGAGAGUUUGACCUCACUCGAGAAUAAAGGUUAUAGUUACCCUAAACUAGAAUAGCACUUUGGAAGUUGUAAUCUUUCGCUAUGAAUUAUAUGUACGCUAUGAAUAUCCUUUAUUUCAAUUACUCUGC